rnacentral:rRNA from 1 species
AAUAUUGCACAAUGGAGGAAACUCUGAUGCAGCGACGCCGCGUGAACGAUGAAGGCCUUCGGGUCGUAAAGUUCUGUCCUAGGGGACGAUAAUGACGGUACCCUAGGAGGAAGCCCCGGCUAACUACGUGCCAGCAGCCGCGGUAAUACGUAGGGGGCGAGCGUUGUCCGGAAUUAUUGGGCGUAAAGGGUUCGCAGGCGGUCUUUUAAGUCAGAUGUGAAAUACAUAGGCUCAACCUAUGUCAGCAUUUGAAACUGGGAGACUUGAGUUAUGGAGAGGAAAGUGGAAUUCCUAGUGUAGCGGUGAAAUGCGUAGAUAUUAGGAGGAAUACCAGUGGCGAAGGCGACUUUCUGGACAUUAACUGACGCUGAGGAACGAAAGCGUGGGGAGCAAACAGG